UACGGGGGGGGGUAAGCGUUGUUCGGAAUUACUGGGCGUAAAGGGCUCGUAGGCGGCCAACUAAGUCGGACGUGAAAUCCCUCAGCUUAACUGGGGAACUGCAUUCGAUACUGCUGUGCUUGAGGACUGGAGAGGAGACUGGAAUUUACGGUGUAGCGGUGAAAUGCGUAGAUAUCGUAAGGAAGACCAGUGGCGAAGGCGGGUCUCUGGACAGUUCCUGACGCUGAGGCACGAAGGUCAGGGGAGCAAACGGG
rnacentral:rRNA from 1 species